rnacentral:rRNA from 1 species
CCUACGGGAGGCAGCAGUGGGGAAUAUUGCACAAUGGGCGCAAGCCUGAUGCAGCCAUGCCGCGUGUGUGAAGAAGGCCUUCGGGUUGUAAAGCACUUUCAGCGGGGAGGAAGGCGGUGAGGUUAAUAACCUCAUCGAUUGACGUUACCCGCAGAAGAAGCACCGGCUAACUCCGUGCCAGCAGCCGCGGUAAUACGGAGGGUGCAAGCGUUAAUCGGAAUUACUGGGCGUAAAGCGCACGCAGGCGGUUUGUCAAGUCGGAUGUGAAAUCCCCGGGCUCAACCUGGGAACUGCAUUCGAAACUGGCAGGCUAGAGUCUUGUAGAGGGGGGUAGAAUUCCAGGUGUAGCGGUGAAAUGCGUAGAGAUCUGGAGGAAUACCGGUGGCGAAGGCGGCCCCCUGGACAAAGACUGACGCUCAGGUGCGAAAGCGUGGGGAGCAAACAGGAUUAGAUACCCGAGUAGUC